AUUGAACGCUGGCGGCAGGCCUAACACAUGCAAGUCGAGCGGAUGAAGGGAGCUUGCUCCUGGAUUCAGCGGCGGACGGGUGAGUAAUGCCUAGGAAUCUGCCUGGUAGUGGGAGAUAACGUCCGGAAACGGGCGCUAAUACCGCAUACGUCCUGAGGGAGAAAGUGGGGGAUCUUCGGACCUCACGCUAUCAGAUGAGCCUAGGUCGGAUUAGCUAGUUGGUGGGGUAAAGGCCUACCAAGGCGACGAUCCGUAACUGGUCUGAGAGGAUGAUCAGUCACACUGGAACUGAGACACGGUCCAGACUCCUACGGGAGGCAGCAGUGGGGAAUAUUGGACAAAGGGCGAAAGCCUGAUCCAGCCAUGCCGCGUGUGUGAAGAAGGUCUUCGGAUUGUAAAGCACUUUAAGUUGGGAGGAAGGGCAGUAAGUUAAUACCUUGCUGUUUUGACGUUACCAACAGAAUAAGCACCGGCUAACUUCGUG
rnacentral:rRNA from 1 species